AGAUUGAACGCUGGCGGCAUGCCUUACACAUGCAAGUCGAACGGCAGCACGGGGGGCAACCCUGGUGGCGAGUGGCGAACGGGUGAGUAAUGCAUCGGAACGUGCCCAGUAGUGGGGGAUAACUAGUCGAAAGAUUAGCUAAUACCGCAUACGACCUACGGGUGAAAGCGGGGGAUUCGCAAGAACCUCGCGCUAUCGGAGCGGCCGAUGUCUGAUUAGCUAGUUGGCGGGGUAAAAGCCCACCAAGGCUUCGAUCAGUAGCUGGUCUGAGAGGACGACCAGCCACACUGGGACUGAGACACGGCCCAGACUCCUACGGGAGCAGCAGUGGGAAUUUGGACAU
rnacentral:rRNA from 1 species